rnacentral:rRNA from 1 species
CAGUAGCCACGGUAAUACGUAGGUGGCAAGCGCUGUCCGGAAUUAUUGGGCGUAAAGGGCUCGCAGGCGGUUUCUUAAGUCUGAUGUGAAAGCCCCCGGCUCAACCGGGGAGGGUCAUUGGAAACUGGGAAACUUGAGUGCAGAAGAGGAGAGUGGAAUUCCACGUGUAGCGGUGAAAUGCGUAGAGAUGUGGAGGAACACCAGUGGCGAAGGCGACUCUCUGGUCUGUAACUGACGCUGAGGAGCGAAAGCGUGGGGAGCGAACAGGAUUAGAUACCCCUGUAGUCCCUGUCUCUUAUAC